GCCGUCAAUGGGCGGCUUGGCGCCCUUGCCGGUUUCAGGCCGGGGGCGAACGGAUGAGUCUUUUGCAGCGACCGUUCAAACGGUUUUGUUGGCU
rnacentral:tRNA from 1 species